rnacentral:rRNA from 1 species
AGAGUUUGAUCCUGGCUCAGGAUGAACGCUGGCGGCGUGCCUAACACAUGCAAGUCGAGCGAGGGUUUGCUCAGUAUUGAGUAUUCUAAGUCUAGAAUGUUCAAUUCUGAGCAAAACCAAGCGGCGGACGGGUGAGUAACGCGUGGGUAACCUGCCCUAUACACAUGGAUAACAUACUGAAAAGUUUACUAAUACAUGAUAAUAUAUAUUUGCGGCAUCGCAGAUAUAUCAAAGUGUUAGCGGUAUAGGAUGGACCCGCGUCUGAUUAGCUAGUUGGUGAGAUAACUGCCCACCAAGGCGACGAUCAGUAGCCGACCUGAGAGGGUGAUCGGCCACAUUGGAACUGAGACACGGUCCAAACUCCUACGGGAGGCAGCAGUGGGGAAUAUUGCACAAUGGGCGAAAGCCUGAUGCAGCAACGCCGCGUGAACGAUGAAGGUCUUCGGAUCGUAAAGUUCUGUUGCAGGGGAAGAUAAUGACGGUACCCUGUGAGGAAGCCCCGGCUAACUACGUGCCAGCAGCCGCGGUAAUACGUAGGGGGCUAGCGUUAUCCGGAUUUACUGGGCGUAAAGGGUGCGUAGGUGGUCCUUCAAGUCGGUGGUUAAAGGCUACGGCUCAACCGUAGUAAGCCGCCGAAACUGGAGGACUUGAGUGCAGGAGAGGAAAGUGGAAUUCCCAGUGUAGCGGUGAAAUGCGUAGAUAUUGGGAGGAACACCAGUAGCGAAGGCGGCUUUCUGGACUGCAACUGACACUGAGGCACGAAAGCGUGGGUAGCAAACAGGAUUAGAUACCCUGGUAGUCCACGCUGUAAACGAU